GAUGUUGCUAUGGUAAUCCUGCUCAGUACAAGAGGAACUGCAGGUUCAGACAUUUGGUGUAUGUGCUUGGCUGAAGAGGCAAUAGGAUGAAGUUACUGUCUGUGUGGUUAUGUAUGAAUGUCUCAAGUCAGAAUCUUGCCCAGACCGAAUGUU
rnacentral:ncRNA from 1 species